ensembl:lncRNA
UAUGUAUGUAUGUAUGUAUGUAGCGUAUGUAUGUAUGUAUGUAGCACAUGUAUGUAUGUAUGUAUGUAUGUAUGUAUCACAUGUAUGUAUGUAUGUAUGUAUGUAUGUAUGUAGCACAUGUAUGUAUGUAUGUAUGUAUGUAUGUAUGUAUGUAUGUAUGUAGCACAUGUAUGUAUGUAUGUAUGUAUGUAUGUAUGUAUGUAGCACAUGUAUGUAUGUAUGUAGCACAUGUAUGUAUGUAUGUAUGUAUGUAUGUAUGUAGCACAUGUAUGUAUGUAUGUAUGUAUGUAUGUCUGUAUGUAUGUA